rnacentral:lncRNA from 1 species
GAUGAACUUUUUUGGGGUGGGGGUGACUUUACCUUCUAGGUUUGCUGCAACCUCAUUUAGAGAGAGUUGCCAUCAAUGCACUGCAGUUAUGUUGUUUGUUACUUCCCCCACCAAAUCGUAGACGGCUUCAACUUUUAAUGCGCAUGAUUUCUCGAAUGAGUCAAAAUGUUGAUAUGCCCAAACUCCAUGAUGUAAUGGGUACAAGAUCACUGGUAAGUUUAUUUCUUAUGGAAAUAAUAAAUUCUGGUUCGUAAUUUGUUUUGUGAAAAAACAAAUGAAAAAAGAAAACAAUCUAUCUUAAAGUACUACUCAAGUGAAUUCUGAUCUUGGAAGUUCUACAUUCCUGAGUUAGAAAGACUUAGAAAUUUAACUUUUCCUAGCAGCAAAUAUUUGUGUACUAAUCUUUUUGCCCAGUCUGUUAUACUUUUGUAUCCUGGUGUUAAUCUUGACAGAGGACUUUGCCUUCUCAUGCAUCCUAUAUAGCUUCCUAAUGAUAGAUCUACAGUCAGAUCACAUUAUGCUAGUUUGUGCCAAUUCUUUUUGGUGAGAAAAGAAGAGGAUGCUAUAUCAUAGAUAGUGUUUAACCCUUAAGGGUACUAGAGCUCUGUGAAAGUGGAGAACUAAAGAUAAAUCCAUUUAUAGUAAGUGUUUCAGAGUAUGGUGGGAGGAAAGGUAUAUUUGAUGAAUUAUGAUAGCAAGUCAUCAUGGUAGAAAAAGUUGGGAAACAUUAUUAUCAAGCAGUCUUAGGCUUCUUAGACAAUGAGGAUU